UACGUAGGGUGCGAGCGUUGUCCGGAUUUAUUGGGCGUAAAGGGCUCGUAGGCGGCGUGUCGCGUCGGGAGUGAAAGCCCGUUGCUUAACGGCGGGUUGGCUUUCGGUACGGGCAUGCUGGAGUGCGGCAGGGGAGACUGGAAUUCCUGGUGUAGCGGUGGAGUGCGCAGAUAUCAGGAGGAACACCGGUGGCGAAGGCGGUUCUCUGGGCCUGUACUGACGCUGAGGAGCGAAAGCGUGGGGAGCGAACAGG
rnacentral:rRNA from 1 species